UACGGGAGGGGCCAGCGUUGUUCGGAAUUACUGGGCGUAAAGAGCGCGUAGGCGGCUUACCACGUUGGGGGUGAAAUCCCGGAGCUCACCUCCGGAACUGCCUUCAAAACUGGUAGGCUCGAGUCCGGAAGAGGGGCGUGGAAUUCCCAGUGUAGAGGUGAAAUUCGUAGAUAUUGGGAAGAACACCGGUGGCGAAGGCGGCGCCGUUGUCCGGUACUGACGCUGAGGCGUGAAAGCGUGGGGAGCAAACAGG
rnacentral:rRNA from 1 species